UGGGGGGUAGCUCAGUGGUGGAGUACUUGCCUAUCAUGUCAAGACCAUGGGUUCAUCCCCUUCUCCCCAA
rnacentral:tRNA from 1 species